AUAAUGUAUAGAAUGAGCAAUUACGGAAGAGAUGUUGUUAUUUGUAUAUUCAUCGAAGACAAUGGGAGAUAGAUUGUACACUACGAAAUGACAAAUUCUAGACUUGAUUUUGUCUCAGAACAGAAGCUCUAAAUUGGAAGUCACAUAGCUUACAGAAUUGAAAGCUCUAUCCUGAGGUUUGAUUGUGAGAUAAUUGUAAACGUGCACACAUCUCUAGCUCUUGUAUAAUUGGACGCCUGGAAAUGUUAUUUUGUAGCUAAAGUUGGUGUAGGCUCUUACUGGAAAAUUAGUUAAUGUCAUGCUAAUGAAAGACAACUGGUUGUUCAAACAAAUUCAGAAACAAGUACCUUGGGAUCAAUGAUCAGAGUCAAGUGGCCUAAACAGAGUUACCUGAGAACGGAUGCAAGCAAUAUCUGGUUCUUCCGCGGAAAGAACAAUACUCAUUAAUUAAUUAAGAGGAUCUUGACAA